ensembl:lncRNA
CAGGAAGACAUGCACAAACUCUUCAAUCCAGGAAUGUCUGGGGACCCUGUCAUUACAUACCCCACAUGCUAAUCUAUCCCACGGCGACUCCAUAAUCUCUGGGGCUCCCACUGUUCUCCAGCUGAAAAUGUGUGAGUCCUCUUCUAAACUAUGGCUUUCCUCCUCUCUCCCUUCAUUGCAAAACUUUUCAAAUUGAAGAUUUACAAGUCACUAGGUAAGGGGUUGAUCCAGCUGAGAUUCAAGGUAGAGUGUUAGCAUGGAGCGAGGAAAUAAGUUUUAAGUCAAAAAAUUCUAUUCCACAUACUUACUGUGUGAAGUUUGACAGGUUACUCAGAGAGGCCCAGUAUUGACAUCUGUACAGGGCCAGAGAUAAAAAUCUGCCUCGUAUGGUCACUGUGAGGAUUAAAUUCAUUAAGAACAUAACAGGCCUGACAUGGGGCCUAGAAUGUGGCAAGUGUUUGACAAAUGUCAGUUCUCCUCCCCAUGAUAGACAUGAAAUGCUCUGAUUCUACUCGUUAAAGUUAAAACAAAACAAACGAAAAAACAAAAGGAAAUAUAACAGGAAUGCCAUUUAGAAUUGGUCCUCUUAAAGCAAAAGCAAACUGUAUGCCUAAUUAUCUCAAUGACUCAUUUCCCUGCUAGCUGCAAGACGCAGGUCCUAGGUCCCAGGAGCUCAAAGUCUGGUGGAUAUGACCGUGAUCUAUUGGGGGACAGUAUAAUUCAAAAUGAUCAUCUCAUUUUAGCUGGUGAAUAUCGGCCUUAAACUCUUGCAUCGUUAUCGAAAUUCUGGGCAGUUAUAUCUCCUCUCUCCAUGUAAAAUGUAAGCAAAGCUAGGGCACAUUUUUUAUAUUUCCUACAUUGCCAAAUAAGUGCAAGUUAAAAUAAAAAUUUGAAAGGAGAGGCGAAGAUUGCAAAGGAAGUGUUCUUUCCAUUUUUCCAACUGAUUAACAGUUUUCCUCUGAGUAAAUGCUUACAUUAAGGACGGCCAAGUUCUGGCCUUCUCCUCGUAGCGCAACCGCAAUGUCUCAGUCCCCGUUUAAGCAAACUGUAGCACUCUUUCAUACCUCAGUUUUCCCCAUCUGUCAAAUAGACAUUGUAGCCCUUUCCCAUCUUAAUCUCACUUUGAAUGCUCUUGACCUACUCAAGAGCAGAGAUCAGAUUCCGUACGUCAUUGUGUUCUCUGAAUUUAGCAAUUUCUGGCACGUAGUAUAUGGUCAAUAAAUGGCAACAAUGUAAACAACAAACUUUUCUUCCUUCUCUUUAGCUGGUAGGUCGGAUGGACUGUUCUGAUAUAGGUUGGGCUCAGCUCAUCUUGACUGGAUUCACGCAUGCAUCAGUGAUCUGCUAGUGGGUCAGCUGGGGGCUGGCUGGUCUAAGAAGCCCUUGGUUCAGAUGACUGUGUUUUGCUCCAUGUGGCCUCUCAGAGAUGAUGGGGUCUCCUGGAAAACAAGGUUUAGCAGGGCAGCAUUAAAGUUAUUUAAUGGCGCUAAGAGAUAUCCUGGGAAAGCUACUCCAUCAGACAGGUCCACAUGAGUACAAAGAGAUAAGAAAAUGGAUCUUCUCGCUUCACACGCUUUCAUGUUCUGCUGGAGAAAAUAUACAACUGUUCUGGAGGGCAACUUGGUGAUAUUGUGUCCAAAUGCAGCCUGGCUGCUCGUUUGAGCUCAAAGUUGAAAGCUUGGGAAAAAUCAGGCUAGGAACAGAACGACAGGAGAGAGAAUGAAAAAGGAAGUUGGGGAGGAGAUGGAGGGAAUCAGCAGGGAAGGGAGAGGGCACCUGUGUCCUCAUGGCUCUCUUCACCUCUGUUCUGCGCUCUCUCCCCACUUCCUGGAGACAGGUGAGAAGAAAAUGUGGACAAUUAAACCCUCAUGUGGGAACCCAGGUAGAGCAAACCACGCAGCCCAGGCUGACUCGCCCAUCCUCUCCAGUGCGUGCGGGUAAAGCGAGAAUCCCAUGGUACAGCAUCAACCCCCAGCAAGGAAAGCAGCUAUUGAAACUUGCUGAGCACGGAACAGCGGGGACAGAUCAUACCGAAACCAGAUGUGCUGCAUGGGUCAAAACCCUGGACCAAAGUAAUAGCAAACUUGCAGUUUGCGGUAUGCUGAGUUCCUGGUAUUUGGGAAAUGGCCACUGCAGCAACGGCAGGCUGGGUGAACUAAGGAAAGGCUCCUUUUCGGGUUCUGAAAUCAGUCAAUCACUGAGCCGGCCACGUGAGCCCAGCCUCAGACCCCUGGAUUUGAAAACUGCAAUUGAAAGCAGCAGAAAGUACUGGGAUAUUUGCAAGAAGACAAAAGAAUUCACCCAGGAAAUCCUGUUUAAGACGGAGAGAGGAUUCCCAGGAUUGGUCUGCUUGGAUAAGGAAGCUAAAGAACCAAGAAGCAGCAUACAGUCUGACCCACAAAGAGGAAUGCAAUACAGUUCUACAGAUG